GGCAGGAAGGCGCACGGUGCGCGUUGGGUUCUGUUGGCGUUGCUUGGUUCGAUAAGCAGCCCGAAGGUCCCCGUUCGACUCGGGGUCCUGCCA